GGUCCGGUAGCUCAGCUGGAUAGAGCAACAGCCUUCUAAGCUGUGGGUCAGGGGUUCGAAUCCCUUCCGGAUCACAA
rnacentral:tRNA from 2 species